CAGAACGAACGCUGGCGGCGCGUCUUAAGCAUGCAAGUCGAACGGCAAGAGGUAGCAAUACCUCCUAGAGUGGCGGACUGGUGAGUAACACGUGGGUGACAUACCCUUCAGAUGGGGAUAGCUAUUAGAAAUAGUAGAUAAUACCGAAUACGAGCACAGGGGUUAGAGAUCUGUGAGGAAAGGAACUAAGGCUCCGCUGAAGGAAUGGCCUGCGGCCCAUUAGCUAGUUGGUGAGGUAAGAGCCCACCAAGGCGAUGAUGGGUAUCCGGCCUUAGAGGGUGAACGGACACAUUGGGACUGAGAUACGGCCCAGACUCCUACGGGAGGCGGCAGCUAAGAAUAUUCCGCAAUGGACGAAAGUCUGACGGAGCGACGCCGCGUGGAUGAAGAAGGCCGGAAGGUUGUAAAAUCCUUUUGAAACUGAAGAAUAAGCGUUGUAGGGAAUGACAGCGUGGUGACAGUAGGUUUUGAAUAAGCAACGGCUAAUUACGUGCCAGCAGCAGC
rnacentral:rRNA from 1 species